CGGCUGGCCAAUCAGGUGCCGGCUGGCUCCCUCGCAGGCGAAUGGCGUGGCACGCUGGCCCUCGCGUGGCCCCGCCCACCCUCCCCACCGCAUCGCAGCUGCCCAGGAUGAUUUUAUAAACAUUUUGCCAGUGGAUCAAUAGCUGUAUUGAUCAACCAUUGUGAGAGUGAUCCGUCUAAAACCCAGAGCAGCCCAGAGCUCAGAGAUGGGAGGAGCGAACGAGAGAGGCUGCAGAGAGGAAGGAGAAGGAGAGAGAGUCUGCAGCCACAGUGAAAGGGAGAAGAGGUACAAGGAAGGGAAGGGAAUCCGAGAGAGGAGCAGACGCAGAGCUGAAGGCAGGAUUCCUCAAGAGCUGAAGCGGCUGCAGCGAUCGAGCUGCAGAUGGCCUCAACGAGAAUGUGGGACGCAGAAGGCCCAGGAUCUGCUCUAAACUGGAACCUGGAGACAAUCACGCCUUGGAUUAGCCUGGAUUAUACCCAUCCAUGGAAGAGGUUGCAAAUGCACGAGUAGUGAGGAUAUCGUGAGGCAGAAACAUAGACUGAUGUGGAAUUAUGGGGUGUUUUUGGCCUUUUGACAUUUCAGGGAAUGGGAUUACAUUUACAUCACUCUUUUUGUGUUGUUGCAACUGUUCCUAAAAGGACACAAGACUGAAGCGCACAACCAUCACCAUGAAGGUUGGAUUUGAGGCCCCAAGUGGCCGCAGCACCAGUCAACCAAGAGGCUUUUAGGAUCAUCCCUCAACACAAAAGGAAAAUCAAGUUUUCAUCGACUGAUUUUAAACGUGACCUCAUCACCAUAAUUGUGGAUUUGAGCGAAGAUCAAUGAGAAAGUCCUUUAGUGGCACAAACCCGCCGCGCUGCACUGAAGACAAGGGGCCUAAACUCUACAGGUUCACACCCCCGUGAACCUGGUGUUAAACGCACACACUGAACGUGAAGGCCUCCAGAACACAGUCCCAGGUCCACUCCUCCACACAUGCUAACACCAUUAGAAACCAGUGUGUGUCUGUUGGGACUCUUAAUGAACAACCAUGACAAACAGCAUGGUCACUGUCAGACUUAAACUGUGUCUUUGCUGGAACAAUUAUGAAACUAAAUCUUUAAUAUUUUGUGCUGAUCGUCAGUGAUUUUUGUUAUGUCAAAGGUUUUUAUCUCACUUUAUCAAGAGCAAGUCUCUUUUAAUCAUGUAUAAAGGUCAGAACCAAAGCUGUUUGCCUGCUGUAUGAGUACAGUACAUCCCAGUGUCAAUAUGUUCCCGUUACUCAACGCCUGCCAUGAACGACUGGUGGUGGUAGAACCGGGGCACAGCUGUUUCACUGGAGUAGUGUUCUGUACCGGUGUAGUACAGACGCACUGCUAAUGAGGGGAACCACGACACCGAGCCGCUGUUCAAAUGGAGCGACGACAACAACACAGAACACGUAUUAUGUGUGCAGCAAAUGCAAACAUCAAUUUUUCUCAUUAUCAUUGACUGCUAAACUCUAUGGAGUGCAUCAGCUGCAGAGGCUCUGAUUUUACACCAGCGGUUGCUUAGGCUGCACAUACACAGGGAAACACGCAAAACAUGAUAAAAUGCGAAGUCGCCGAGCACGAACUGUGAUCCAGAAGGUUCCAAUGAGAGCAGCAGAGCAUUGGAUCCCAAAAGCUGAAGGAGGUUCAGUACUUUUGUGACCAGAGGGACGUCUUCACUGUCUGUGAAGCAUCUUCAGCAUGAUUAGAGCUAAAGAAAAUGACCUUUUGUUUCACUGGAAUCUAAAACUAGUGAAAGAGAAAAGACUCUAAACAUGGCUGCCAGUCAGUACCUUAACCUUAGCUACUGCAGGAUAUUCAUUCAGAAUGUAUAAAUGUUUCUUUCUUCUUUCGUAGACAAAAAGCUCUGUAGCUCAAACCUCCACUGGCUUUUACUCCAAUUGAUGCCAUCCUGUUGUGUAUAUCAGCUUCAUUUUGAGGAGAUAAGCACCCUUAAGUGGUAUCGCCUUAACCAAAGACUUAAUUCAUGUGCUAUCAAAGCAGCAGCGCAACAGUCAAUCAUUUUCUUGUUUCCUUUCAUGGCUUUUGUUUGAUUCCUGCGCUCAGAAACAAACCCUUGGACGAGUGCCAAACAAUAAAUUAGGAUCUUCAUUAGACACAUCAAAUCCAAAUUACUAUUCAAUUAACAGGCCAGUCAACCUGAACUAAUCAACCAAUUAGGCUGUGUGUGUUCACAGAAAAGCUAACAAAAGCACAAGGCUCCCCUGGGAAAGCAAUAAAACACUGCAGAAGAGUGACAGAGCAAAUGAGAAGCUACUGGUUCAGGAGGCGAAGGGAGGAUCAGAGACCAAACAUGACACCGGGAGACGGCGAUAACGCGAACGGACAAGUGCCGUCGAAGCUUCCUGUUAGCUUUAUGCUUUAAUUAAAAUGGAGACAAGCUCCUUUUUUUUGAUUCCUUAUUAACAUAGAUAAAAAUAGAACAAGGAACAAUAGACGCGCACGGUGCUGGUGCUCAGUGGAGGGUUCCUGAUGCUCCGUUCAGUACCUACCUUUGGGCCACAGGAGCUCUGGGCAGCACAGGACAUCCACGGGCCUCCUUCACCCACAUCAGAGGCACACCUAUGGAACGUGAGCAAACACAUGGAAUAAGAACAUAUAUGUACAGUACGUAGAUGCACGCGGCUCCAGACAUGCAUUUCCACCCCCACACAUCCGGGGUCUGAUGGCUCCAGUACAGGCCAAAGGUGGCGGGAGAGGAGAAAACCAUUAUUGUACCAGUAAAUGUCAGAACAAGCCCGUCUAAUUGUGCCAUUACUAAUUCAUGUUUAUUAAUGCAGUGAUGUACGAUGGCCCUGCACACUGACUGAGCUUGUCUGUGCCUGUCAUGUAUGGCUUAUUCUCUGCUGAUGAGGGCUGCAGGGAGCGCAUUAGGGAGCGGGUGGCGCAUGCGGUGGGUGCGGGGCAUAUGGCGCGUGCAGUGACAGUGCCAAGUGGUGUGUGACUUUAACAUGAAGGCUGGGGGGGGGGGGCGCUGACUGAUGGUGCCGGUGUCUUCAGCUGGCCAAGUGCCAGAGCCCCGGUUCCCCAGCGCCCCAGCCCCUUGCCGCCCCGAAGCCUCUGGGCAAGCGCCGCCAUUAUUGUUUUCACUGCCAGGCAAUUAGCGGCACUUAAGAUUUAUUUAGUCAUGCUCUAAUGUGUGGUAAUUAGCUCGGGGCCCAAACAAGCCCCUUCAUCCCAUCACCUCGUCGCUGGCAUCGGAGCAGCGCGUCGGUGGGACUCAGUGAGGGAAUGCGAGGGAGGAGGCGGGAGGUGCAGAGGGUGGGAUCGUGGGGGGGGAGGUGGAGUGUUGCUAGAAGGAUUACAAGAGCACCAGCCCAGCUCUGUGGAUCAGCACUUUUUAAGAGAUCUUCAGGGGCCUGUUGGCUGAACGCAUAGCAGGAGGAAAGGGCAAAUACAGCCCAGUUACAGUUUUAUAGAAUGCUUUGUGGAAAAACACCCCUGACACACACCUCGGCCUGGCAGCUCAGUUUGUCAUAUCGCCCAUGGGGCUCCACUGGCCUAUCACAUGACCACUGUAAUGACCUCAAAGGGCAGACUCCUCAGCAGGCUCAGGCCACUUCCACUGGCUGGACUGCUCUUUGGGAAGAGAAGUUUGGGUCACCGCAUAAUGUGUGAUGCAUUUGGCCCCGAGGCUGGAAUUAAUAAAAAACACACAAAAAUGCAGAAACCAGGUCAAAGAGAUUAUGCAAAAACUGCCAAGUGGUGUAAAUCAAACCAAAGACGCUGGACAAAUGCUCGCUUGUCUGCCGCCGUUGCUCCACAAUGCUGCUGGGAGUUUGCAUAGCACAUUGUAUACGAAUGUGUACGUCGUGUCAUGAAUUCGUUAGAGGUGUCGGGGCCACGUCUAUUAGCAGACGGAGUUUUUGUGAAUAAAGUUGGUGAGCACUU